rnacentral:misc_RNA from 1 species
UCUCCGUAGGUGAACCUGCGGAGGGAUCAUCACAGAGUUCUCGCCCUCGCGGGUAGAUCUCCCACCCACCGUUAUCGUUACUGUGUUGCUUUGGCGGGCCGCCGGGCCCCGCUCGGCCGCCGGCUCCGGCUGGCGCGCGCCCGCCAGAGGCCCAGCAAACUCUGAAUGUUAGUGUCGUCUGAGUACUAUAUAAUAGUUAAAACUUUCAACAACGGAUCUCUUGGUUCUG